GAGGUUCGUGGUAGGAGAGCGUUCUAAGGGCGGUGAAGUCAGACCGGAAGGACUGGUGGAGCGCUUAGAAGUGAGAAUGCCGGUAUGAGUAGCGAAAGAAGGGUGAGAAUCCCUUCCACCGAAUAUCUAAGGUUUCCUGAGGAAGGCUCGUCCGCUCAGGGUUAGUCGGGACCUAAGCCGAGGCCGAUAGGCGUAGGCGAUGGACAACAGGUAGAGAUUCCUGUACCAGUGCUAAUUGUUUAACCGAUGGGGUGACACAGAAGGAUAGGGAAUCGCACGAAUGGAAAUGUGCGUCCAAGCAGUGAGUGUGAGAAGUAGGCAAAUCCGCUUCUCGCGAAGCAUGAGCUGUGAUGGGGAAGGAAAUUAAGUACGGAAGUUCCUGAUUUCACGCUGUCAAGAAAAGCCUCUAGGAAGAGUAGUACUGCCCGUACCGCAAACCGACACAGGUAGAUGAGGAGAGAAUCCUAAGGUGAGCGAGAGAACUCUCGUUAAGGAACUCGGCAAAAUGACCCCGUAACUUCGGGAGAAGGGGUGCUCUAUUAGGGUGCAAGCCCGAGAGAGCCGCAGUGAAUAGGCCCAGGCGACUGUUUAGCAAAAACACAGGUCUCUGCAAAACCGUAAGGUGACGUAUAGGGGCUGACGCCUGCCCGGUGCUGGAAGGUUAAGAGGAGUGCUUAGCUUCGGCGAAGGUACGAAUUGAAGCCCCAGUAAACGGCGGCCGUAACUAUAACGGUCCUAAGGUAGCGAAAUUCCUUGUCGGGUAAGUUCCGACCCGCACGAAAGGCGCAACGAUCUGGGCACUGUCUCAACGAGAGACUCGGUGAAAUUAUAGUACCUGUGAAGAUGCAGGUUACCCGCGACAGGACGGAAAGACCCCGUGGAGCUUUACUGCAACCUGAUAUGGAAUGUUUGUACCGCUUGUACAGGAUAGGUAGGAGCCGAAGAGACGUGUGCGCUAGCAUACGAGGAGGCAAUGGUGGGAUACUACCCUGGCUGUAUGACCAUUCUAACCC
rnacentral:rRNA from 1 species